UAAAACGUUGUUCCACAUAUUAGGGUUUCCUCUGCUUCUUUUGCCUACUUUAGACCUCCGCCGCUUCUGCUUCCAAUCCUGUCCUUCCUUCUUUAUUUUCUUUUUUGUUCUUUUGUUUUUCAUCUUCAUCUAUCUAUCGAAUAGAAAACUUGAUCCUUUCCUUCUUCUCGGCCACCACUUCUCAAAUCCCCCAAUUCCCCCAAGCCCUAACGACAACCACCACCACCACCGCUUCAAUUCUUUCUUGGCGUUGAUUUUGGGAGGGGUCAGGUUUCGGCUGGACGGCUUGCUUGAGGAAGAGGAGUGGCCGGAGAACGAAGAGGGAUAAAUGCUUCAGCAAUUAGCUCUGUCUAUAAAAAACAGAAAAGGAAAAAAAAUUAAAAAAGAAGACGAUGGUGGCAAUUUGGGUUCUUAUACAAGGGUUUGUUUUCCAAAAGGCUUUGGAAGAACUGGAUGUUUGGAUGCUAGAGUCAUCUUGCUAUCAAUGAUCCAUUUAUCACCACUGAUUACAUGUUUAUAGAUGAAAAUGGACGAAGGCAACAUGUGUGGCAGACAUCAUGGGCUAUUAGCAUGCAAAUUGUUGGAGGUACUAUCAUGAUUCAUGGUGAUGGCACUGGCUUAAUGCUUCCACCUAAGCUGGCACCUGUACAGAAAACAGGUGACAGAACUAUAGUUCUUAAUGCUACAUCAUCAGUGAAAGAAAACUCUGCAAGUAGCUGGAAUAAAGGUCAAGGUUGAUGACUCUGAUCAGAGAACACCUGGAUGGAAAUAUAACUUUUGGGAGAUGAAGGUUUGCCCUGCUUCUGUAGAUGUUCUGUAUCUUGCCCAAUAUCUAGCUUGCCAUUGGACUUCUCCCACCAAAGGAUGAGUGACAAUAAGAGAAAUUUAGGGAGAGGAAAAUUCCAAAUGCAUGGCCACAAACAUUGCAAAUGAUUUUUUUCCUGGGAAUAUUAAUGCAUGCGGGACUACAUCUAAACUAACUUCCUUGGAGCUUUAAGAUUCCUGAAGGUUAAUUGUAAUAUAUCUCACCAAGCUUGGUUACUUUUAAGACUUGUCACCUUACUUCACUUCACUUGAGCAUCUAGAGGUAUUGUUUAAAAUUAGUUUGAAAAAAAAAUCAACUUGAGUGGCUAGGUUCCAAUUGUGAUUUGUUCAACCAAAACUUUUUGAAGACUGGCUUGAAUAAUUAACAAGUCAAGUGAUAUCUAUUGAAGGCCAGCUCAACUAGAGCUAUUUCAGUGAUUGUUGGCUUUGUUUUCUGAAAGGGUAUGAAGUUUCAAUUUUGAAACGUCUACUGUUGCUGUUAACAAUUUCAUAUUUGGAAGUGAUGUGUAUGGAUCUCAAGAAAUACUAUUUUACAGUUGAAUGUAAUACAAUUGUGCUUUGAAGUUUACCUACCUUUUCUGCAGGGAGUACCUUAAGAAUUGAGAUUGGACCUCGUGAUGUGUCUACUGGGACUGUGGUCAUUUCCAGAAGAGAUAUUCCUAGAAAAGAAGGAAAAGAUUUCGGGAUAUCAAUGGCUUCUUCAAUUUUUGUUGCUUAUGUUUAAGGGUUGUUGGAUGGGAUUCGUAGUUGCCUGCUGGAGAGGGCAACCACUUUCAUGAGCUUUUUUUUUUUGGAAUUUUAAUGAAACAUGUCCUUCAAGACAUUGGUUCUUUUCUUUUGUAAACUUUAAUUACUGGUAGAUUGUUAGCUAAGUGCGCUAGCAGUAAUCUCUUGAUUCUUC